UGUAGCAAUACAUUGCUGGUCCUAGUGGCGCACGGGUGAGUAACACGUGGGUAACCUGCCCUUGAGUUCGGGAUACCCCCUCGAAAGGGGGGCUAAUACCGGAUACGUUCCUCGGAUCGACAGGUCUGGGGAGGAAAGGUGGCGCAAGCUGCCGCUCUUGGAGGGGCUCGCGGCCUAUCAGCUAGUUGGCGGGGUAACGGCCCACCAAGGCUAUGACGGGUAGCUGGUCUGAGAGGACGACCAGUCACACGGGGACUGAGACACGGCCCCGACUCCUACGGGAGGCAGCAGUGGGGAAUUUUCCGCAAUGGGCGAAAGCCUGACGGAGUGACGCCGCGUGUGGGACGAAGGCCUUCGGGUCGUAAACCACUGUCAGUGGGAAAGAAGGGUGUCGGUGCUAAUACCACCGGCAUUUGACGGUACCUGCAGAGGAAGCCCCGGCCAACUCUGUGCCAGCAGCCGCGGUAAGACAGAGGGGGCAAGCGUUGCUCGGAAUUACUGGGCGUAAAGGGCGCGUAGGCGGGAUGGCAAGUCGGUCGUGAAAUCCUUCGGCUCAACCGAAGAACGUCGAUCGAUACUGCUGUUCUUGAGGAUUGCAGAGGAGACUGGAAUUCCCGGUGUAGCGGUGAAAUGUGUAGAGAUCGGGAGGAACACCGGUGGCGAAGGCGGGUCUCUGGGCAAUUCCUGACGCUGAGGCGCGAAAGCGUGGGGAGCAAACGGGAUUAGAUACCCCGGUAGUCCACGCUGUAAACGAUGACGACUAGUGG
rnacentral:rRNA from 1 species